AACGCGAAGAACCUUACCUGGGUUUGACAUGCUUAGGACCGUCGGUGAAAGCCGGCUUCCCCUUCGGGGGCCUUUGCACAGGUGCUGCAUGGCUGUCGUCAGCUCGUGCCGUGAGGUGUUGGGUUAAGUCCCGCAACGAGCGCAACCCUUGUCCAUAGUUGCCAUCAGGUUAUGCUGGGAACUCUAUGGAGACUGCCGGUGAUAAGCCGGAGGAAGGUGGGGAUGACGUCAAGUCCUCAUGGCCCUUACAUCCAGGGCUACACACGUACUACAAUGGCCGGUACAGACGGUUGCAAUACCGCAAGGUGGGGCAAAUCUCAAAAAACCGGUCUCAGUUCGGAUUGCAGUCUGCAACUCGACUGCAUGAAGUCGGAAUCGCUAGUA
rnacentral:rRNA from 1 species